rnacentral:rRNA from 1 species
AGAGUUUGAUCAUGGCUCAGGAUCAACGCUGGCGGCGUGCCUAAUGCAUGCAAGUCGCACGGACCGUCUUCGGACGGCCAGUGGCGAACGGCUGAGGAACACGUGCGUAUCUGCCUUUCCGUGGGGAAUAACGGGUGGAAACACCCGCUAAUACCGCGUACGCUUGCUUCGGCAAGGAAAGCCUUCGGGCGCGGGGAGAGGAGCGCGCGGCCCAUCAGGUAGAUGGCGGGGUAAUGGCCCACCAUGCCGGUGACGGGUCGCUGGUCUGUGAGGAUGACCAGCCACACUGGGACUGAGACACGGCCCAGACUCCUACGGGAGGCAGCAGCCAGGAAUCUUGGGCAAUGGGCGAAAGCCUGACCCAGCAACACCGUGUGGGUGAUGAAGGCCUUCGGGUCGUAAAGCCCUGUUGAUAGGGACGAAGGGUGAAGGGUUAAUAGCCCGGAGCUUGACGGUACCUUUCGAGGAAGCCCCGGCUAACUACGUGCCAGCAGCCGCGGUAAUACGUAGGGGGCGAGCGUUGUCCGGAAUUAUUGGGCGUAAAGAGCGUGUAGGCGGUUCGGUAAGUCUGUCGUGAAAUCCUGGGGCUCAACCCUGGGCGUGCGAUGGAUACUGCCGGGCUAGAGGGUGGUAGAGGCGAGUGGAAUUCCCGGUGUAGCGGUGAAAUGCGCAGAUAUCGGGAGGAACACCAGUAGCGAAGGCGGCUCGCUGGGCCACACCUGACGCUGAGACGCGAAAGCUAGGGGAGCGAACAGGAUUAGAUACCCCCGUAGUCC